rnacentral:lncRNA from 1 species
AUAGUAUUCCAUCAUAUGGACAUACCACAACAUAUUUAUCCAUUCUACCGUAAGUGGCCUUUGGGUUGUUUCCAGUUUUCGUCUAUUGUGAAUAUGGUGCGUGAACAUUCUUUUGAUAGACAUCUCUUGGUGAACAUACGUAUGCAUUUAUUUAAUCUUUUUGUAAUUACGUGUGUAGGCAGAUCCUUUUUUUGUGUGAUUUUCAUUUCAUGGAAGUAAGAGGAUAUUACAAAAUACUUGGUAUCCAAAGGAGGCCUAGGUUCUGAGGGAAUAGUUGGGACCCUCUUGUUUGAAGCAGGUGCUUCUGUCCAUGGUCCAUUUGUCUGUCGCACAAGGAUUGUCCCUGCUGUGCUGUGCUCCAUGUGGGGAGUGAUUUGAGAAUCUUGCCAUAAGGCUAGAGGGCAGAGGCCUGCAUUCUCACUCCCACCACUAGAGGGCAGGCAUUGACAAGGCGCUGGGGACCCGCGGCUUCUUUCAGGCAGGGUGGCUCUGUUUCCUGCCCCGUCUCCCUUGGUAACUGGGGGUCCACCUCUACCGGGGGAUUAAACAAAAGAAAUCUUUGUAGUCCACCUCAGUGGAGGCAGAGGGAACUGACGCACUUUUGGUGAUCAAAUAUUUCUCACCCACCUUCCCUGUUAAAUGGAGAAUCUCUGGAGUCUGGCUGCCUCCUAGGGGUACCUGGGCUCCCUGCCCCACUCACGCUGCCGGCUUCACUGGUGAGCUCACCUAGCCGGGCCACUGGUGCUGGUUCUCUGUUCCUACACGGUGGCUUCCGCAGACACACGUCCUGGGCUUCUACGGCUGCCCAGAGAAUCUUAAAUCGAAACAAAAACCCCCAAGCUAAUUCCCGUCCUGGAAUCUGCUUGGUGCCUCAACUUCCUUGUAGGGAGCCAAGCUCCUCUUUCCAGCCCUGUAAGUGGCAGAGGCACAGGCUCUGGGUUAGACUCCUGGGAGAGGACGGAGAACCAGGCCCUCUGACUUAUUCCACCCAGUGACCUGCUCAUCGAGGUCCGCCGUGUGCUGAGGAAUCACUUCGGAAUGCUUGCUAGAAGAAAGACUCCUGAGUGCGACUUCACCGAAUCAGAAGGCUGAAGAUAGGGCCCUGAAGCUGCAUUUACACCCGCCCCUCCCCCCAGGGCAAUUCUGAGGUUGGCAGGCUCGCACCCUAGUUGGAGAAGUACUGCUUAAUAAGAGAUAAUGACCUGGCCCAGCCAUAGGUCAGGCGAGCCAUCCAAGAGCUAACAAGCAACCCGCGUGAAAGCGCCUUGUGAAUCUGAGAACAAACCAAUUCUUUGCAAAGACUAGUAAACCAACAAUCCAAAUAAUAUCCAAAAAAAUCUAAGUAAUAAUAAUAGUAAAAGAACUGGGGAGCGCACUGCGAACACGGUGCAGUCCACCCCGGCGCAGUCGGUGCGACUGUCUCUUUAAGGCUCCC